CUUCACCGAACCCAGCCACAACGGCCGACCCACAGGCCGAUCCUGCCCAUACGUCGCCAACAACGCCUGCGCCUC
rnacentral:antisense_RNA from 1 species